CCUACGGGAGGCAGCAGUGAGGAAUAUUGGUCAAUGGCCGUAAGGCUGAACCAGCCAAGUCGCGUGAAGGAAGAAGGAUCUAUGGUUUGUAAACUUCUUUUAUAGGGGAAUAAAGGUAUCCACGUGUGGAUAUUGCAUUUACCCUAUUAAUUAACCUCGGCUAACCCCGUGCCAGCCGCCGCGGUAAUUCGGAGGAAGCGAGCGUUAUCCGGAUUUAUUGGGUUUAAAGGGUGCGUAGGUUGUUUUUUAAGUCAGCGGUGAAAGUUUGUGGCUCAACCAUAAAAUUGCCGUUGAAACUGGAAGACUUGAGUGUGUUUGAGGUAGGCGGAAUGCGUGGUGUAGCGGUGAAAUGCAUAGAUAUCACGCAGAACUCCGAUUGCGAAGGCAGCUUACUAAGCCAUAACUGACACUGAAGCACGAAAGCGUGGGGAUCAAACAGGAUUAGAUACCCUUGUAGUC
rnacentral:rRNA from 1 species